rnacentral:rRNA from 1 species
UACGGAGGGGGCAAGCGUUAUCCGGAUUUACUGGGUUUAAAGGGUGCGUAGGUGGGUCUGUAAGUCAGUGGUGAAAUCUCCGAGCUUAACUCGGAAACUGCCAUUGAUACUAUAGGUCUUGAAUUAUCUGGAGGUGAGCGGAAUAUGUCAUGUAGCGGUGAAAUGCUUAGAUAUGACAUAGAACACCAAUUGCGAAGGCAGCUCACUACGGAUAUAUUGACACUGAGGCACGAAAGCGUGGGGAGCAAACAGG